UUCGCAAUGCCCGAAAGGGUGACGAAGCGACGCCGCGUGUGGGAAGAAGGCUCUAGGGUUGUAAACCACUGUCAGGAGUUAAGAAAUGUAGAGGCGUUAAUAGCGCCUAUAUUUGACGAAGGCUCCAGAGGAAGCCACGGCUAACUCUGUGCCAGCAGCCGCGGUAAUACAGAGGUGGCAAGCGUUGUUCGGAAUUAUCGGGCGUAAAGAGCACGUAGGCGGUCCUGCAAGUCUGUUGUGAAAUCCUUCCGCUUAACGGGAGAACGGCAGCUGAUACUACAGGACUAGAGUACGGGAGGGGAGAGUGGAACUUCUGGUGGAGCGGUGAAAUGCGUAGAUAUCAGAAGGAACGCCGGCGGCGAAAGCGACUCUCUGGCCCGAAACUGACGCUGAGUGUGCGAAAGCUAGGGGAGCAAACGGGAUUAGAUACCCCGGUAGUCCUAGCCGUAAACGAUGGGCACUAAGUAGAGGGGUUUU
rnacentral:rRNA from 1 species